ACCACAAGCCUCCUCGCUGAGAAAGCAAGCGGACUCACAGUUUUUCAGGGAGCCUGCAGCCGUGAUCCAGUUCUUUCAAAGGGUCUGUGAGUCUUUCAGCUUUCCUGCUAGUGGGCCAAUGCGACUGAAAUGCAGUUUUGGGGAAAUGGAAGAAUAGGAGGAAUAGAAGACCAGGCCAGAGAUAUAAGCCAGACUAACGAAAAAAGGGAGAAGACCCAAGUAAAUAAAAUCAGAGAAGAAAAAGAAAACGUUACGAUUGAUAUUGCAGAAAUCCAAAGGAUCAUUAUUGGCUACUGUGAGCAACUAUAUGCCAAUAAAUUGGAAAAUCCAGUGGAAAUGAAUAAAUUUCUAAACACAUACUACCUACUAACACUGAACCAUGAAGAAAUACAAAACCUAAGCAGACCAAUAGCAAGAAACAAGACUGAAACCAUAAUAAAAUGUCUUCCGGUAAAGAAAAGCACAGAAUCUGAUGGAUUUACUGCUGAAUUCUACCAAACACUUAAAGAAGAACUAAUGCCAAUACUACUCAACUAUUCUGAAGAAUACAGGAGGAGGAACUCUAAACUCAUUUGACAAGGCCAGCAUUACCCUGAUACCAAAACCAGACAAAGAUAAAUCAAAAAAAGAAAACUACAGGUCAGUGUCUCUGAUGAAUAAUGAUGCAAAAAUCCACAACAAAAUACCAGCAAACUAAAUUUAACAAUACAUUUAAAAGAUCACUCAUCGUAAUCAAGCGGGUUUUAUCCCUGGGAUACAACAAUGGUUCAACAUAUGCAAAUGAAUCGGUGUGAUACAUUAUAUCAGCAGAAUGAAGAAGAAAGAUCAUGUAAUCAUUUUAAUUGAUGCUGGAAAAGCACUUGAUAAAAUUCAACAUCCUUUCAUGCUUAAAAAAAUUUAAAAAACUGAGUGUAGAAGGAACAAACUGCAACAUAAUAAAAUGUGUAUAUUACAGACUCAUAACUAGUGUUAUACAGAAGAGGGAGAAACAGAAAGCAUUUUCUCUAAGAUCUGUGAGACAAGCAUGCCCACUUUCACCACUGUUAUUCAACAUAGUACUGGAAGUCCUAGCUAUAACAAUUAGACAAGACAAAGAAAUAAAGGGCAUUCAAAUUGGAAAGGAAGAGGUCAAAUUAUCCUUGUUUGCAGAUAAUAUAAUUACAUAUUUGGAAAAACCUAAAGACUCCAUCAAAAAACUAUUAGAACUAAUAAACAAAUUCAGUAAAUUUGCAGGAUACAAAAUCAACCUAUAAAAAUCAGUAGCAUUUCUGUAUGCCUGCAGUGAGCAAUCUGAAGAAAAAUGUAAUCCCACUUAAAAUAGCCACAGAGAAAAUUAAAUACCAGGGAAUUAACUUAACCACAUAAGUGAAAGAUCUCUACAAUGAAAACUGUAACAUACUGAUGCAAGAAAUUGAAGAGGACACAACAAAAUGGAAAGAUAUUCCAUGUUCAUCAAUUGGAAAAGUCAAUAUUAUUAAAAUGUCCAUACUACCAAAAGAAAUCUAGAGAUUCAAUGUAAUUCCUAUGAAAAUACCAAUAACAUUCUUCACAGAAAUAUAAUAAACAAUCCUAAAAUUUAUAUCAAACCACAAAAGACCCAGAAUAGCCAAGCUAGUGUGUGCAAAAUUAACAAAACUGAAGGAAUCAUAUUACCUGACUUCAAACUAUACUACAGACCUAUAGUCACCAAAACAGCAUGAUACUGGCAUAAAAACAUACACAUAGACCGAUGAAACAAGAUAGAGAACCCAGAAACAAAUUCAUAUGCCUACAGAACUCAUUUUUGACAAAGGUGCCAAGAACAUACACUGGGGAAAAAGAUAGUCUCCAAUAAAUGGUGCUGGAAAUACUGGAUAUCCAUAUACAGAAGAAUUAAAGUAGACCCUUAUGUCUUGCUAUAUACAAAAACCAAACGAAAAUGAAUUAAAGACUUAAACCUAAUACUUCAGUCUAUGAAGCUACUGAAAGAAAACAUUGGGAAAACUCUCCAGGAUAUUGAACUGGGAAAAUAUCUCCAGGAUAUUGAACUCCUUGAGUAAUACCCACAAGCCCAGAAAAAAAAAAAAAAAGGAAAAUGGGAUCACAUCAAGUUACAAAGCUUCUGCAUAGCAAAGGGAACAAUCAAGUGAAGAGACAACCCACAGAAUGGAAGAAAAUAUUUGCAAACCAUCUGUAUUAGUCCAUUUUCACACUGCUGAUAAAGACAUACCCGAGAUUGGGAAGAAAAAGUCUUAAUGGACUUACAGUUCCACAUGGCUGGGAGGCCUCACAAUCAUGGUGAAGUGAAAGGAGAAGCAAGUCACAUCUUGUGCAGGGAAACUCUCAUUUUUAAAACCAUCAGCUCUCGUGAGACAUAUUCACUGUCUCAAGAACAGCACAGGAAAGCCCUGCCCCAAUAAUUCAAUUAUCUCCCACUGGGUCUGUUCCACAGCAUGUGGGAAUUAUGGAAGCUGCAAGAUGAGAUUCGGGCGGGGACACAGAGAAUCAAACCAUAUAAUUCUGCCCCAGACCCUUCCAAAUCUCAUGUCUUCACAUUUCAAAACCAAUCAUGCCUUCCCAACAGUCCCCCAAAGUCUUAACUCACUUCAGCAUUAACUCAAAAGUCCACAGUCCAAAGUCUCAUCUGAGACAAGGCAAGUCCCUUCACCUCUGAGCCUGUAAAAAUCAAAAGGAAAUUAGUUACUUCCUAGAUACAAUGGGGGCACAGGCAGUGGGUACAAGCAUUUCUCCCAUUCCAAAUGGGAUAAAUUGGCCAAAACAAAGGGGCUACAGGCCCCGUGCAAGUCCAAAAUCCAGCAGGGCAGUUAAAUCUUAAAGCUCCAAAUGAUCUGCAUUGACUCCAUGUCUCAUAUCCAGGUCACGCUGAAGCAAAAGGGGGAUUCCCAUAGUCUUGGACAGCUCUGCCCCUGUGGCUUUGCAGGGUAUAGCUCCAGUCCUGGCUGCUUUCAUGGGCUGGCAUUGAGUGUCUGUGGCAUUUCCAGGUGCACAGUGCAAGCUGUCAGCAGAUUUAUCAUUCUGGGGUCUGGAGGAAGGUGGCCCUCUUCUCACAGCUCCACUAAGUGGUUCACCAGUAGGGACUGUGUGUGGGGGCUCCAACCCCACAUUUCCCUUCUGCACUGCUCUAGCAGAGUUUCUCCAUGAGGGCCCCGCCCCUGCAGCAAACUUCUGCCUGAGCAUCCAGGCAUUUCCAUACAUCCUCUGAAAUCUAGGCAGAGGUUACCAAAUCUCAAUUCUUGACUUCUGUGCACCCACAGGCUCAACAUCACAUGGAAACUGUCAAGGCUUGGGGCUUUCACCCUCUCAAGCAACAGUCCAAGCUGUACCUUGGCCCAUUUUAGCUAUGGCUGGAGUAAGUGAAACACAGGGUACCAAGACCCUAGGCUGCACAGAGCAGGAGUCCCGAGGCUCUGGCCAAGAAACCAUUUUUCUCUCCUAGGUCUCCAAAUCUGUGAUGGGAGGGGCUGCCAUGAAGACCUCUGACAUACCCUGAAGACAUUUUUCCCAUUGUCUUGGUGAUUAACAUUUACCUUCUCAUUACUUAUGCAAAUUUCUGCAGCCAGCUUGAAUGUCUUCUCAGAAAAUGGGAUUUUCUUUUCUAUCUCAUUGUCAGGCUGCAAAUUUUCUGAACUUUUAUGCUCUGCUUCUCUUAUAAAAUCGAAUGUCUUUAGCAGCACCCAAGUCACAUCUUGAAUGCUUUGCUGCUUAGAAAUUUCUUCUGCCAGAUACCCUAAAUCAUCUCUCUCAAGAUUAAGGUUACACAAAUCUCUACAGCAGGGGCAAAAUGCCACCAGUUUCUUUGCUAAAGCAUAACAAGAGUCAGCUUUGCUCUAGUUCCCAACAAGUUCUUCAUCUCCACCUGAGACCACCUCAGCUUGUAUUUCAUUGUUCCACAUCAUUAUCAGCAUUUUGGGCAAAGCCAUAUAACAAGUCUCUAGGAAGUUCCAAACUUUCCCACAUUUUCCAUUCUUCUUCUGAGCUCCCCCAGACUGUUUAAACCUCUGCCUGUUACUCAGUUCCAAAGUCACUUCCACAUUUUCAAGUAUCUUUUCAGCAAUUCCCCACUCUAUUGGUAUCAAUUUACUGUAUUAAUUCAUCUUCUUGCGGCUGAUAAAGACAUACCCAAGACUGGGAAAAAAAGGGGUUUAAUUGGACUUACAGUUCCACAUGACUGGGGAGGGCUCACAGUCAUGGCAGAAGGCAAGAAGGAGCAAGUAGCCUCUUACCUGGAUGGUGGCAGGCAAAGAGAGAGUUUGUUCAGGGAAACUCCUGUUUUUAAAACCAUUAGAUCUCAUGAGAUCUCACUAUCACAAGAACAGCACAGGAAUGACCUGCCCCCAUGAUUCAAUUAUCUCCCAUCGGGUUUCUCUCACAACACAUGGGAAUUAUGGGAGCUACAAGAUGAGAUUCGGGUGGGGAGACAGAGCCAAACCAUAUCACUACCAAUCUGAUAAUGGAUUAAUAACCAGAAUAUAGAAGGAGCUCAAACAACUCUAUAGGAAUGCUCUAGGAAUUUGUUACUAUAAAUUCCAAUAAUCCAAUUAAAAAUGGACAAAAUAUUUGAAUAGACAAUUCUCAAAAGAAGACAUACAAGUGGCAAUAGGCAUAUGAAAAGGUGCUCAGCAGCACUGAUAAUCAGAGAAAUGCUAAUCAAAACUACAGUGAUAUAUAAUCUCACCCUGGUUAAAAUGGCUUUCAUCCAAAAGACAGGCAAUAAAUGCUGGUGAGGAUGUGGAGCAAAAGAAACCCUUGUACACUGUUGGUGGGAAUGUAAAUUAGUACAACCACUAAGGAGAACAGUUUGGAUGUUCCUCACAAAACUAAAAAUAGAGCUACCAUAUGAUACAGCAGUCCCACUGCUGGGUAUAUACCCCAAAGAAACGAAAUCAGUAUUUUGAAGAGAUAUCUGCAUUCCUAUGUUUUUCGCAGCACUGUUGACAUUAGUCAAGAUUUGGAAGCAAUGUAGAUUUUCAUCAACAGAUGAAUGGAUAAGAAAAUGUGGCACUUAUACAUAAUAAAGUACUAUUCAGCCAUAAAAAAGAAUGAGAUCUUGUCAUUUGCAACAACAUGGGUGGAACUGGAGGUCAUUAUGUUAAGUGAAAUAAGCCAGGCAUAGAAAAUCGAACAUCAUAUGUUCUCAUUUAUUUGUGAGAUGUAAAAAUCAAAACAAUUGAACACAUGGAGACAGAGAGUAGAAGGGGUGGGGAGGGGAGGUGGCGAUGGUUAGUGGUUAAUAAAUAAAUAGAAAGAAUGAAUAAGGCCUAGUAUUUGAUAGCACAAUGGGGAGACUAUAGUCAAAAUAAUUGUCCAUUUUAAAAUAACUAAAAGAGUAUAAUUGGAUUGUUUCUACUACAAAGAAUAUAUUCUUGAGGAGAUGGAUACCACAUUUACCCUGAUGUGAUUAUUACAUGUUGCAUGCCUAUAUCAAGAUAUCACAUGUACCCCCCAAACUGGGCACGGUGGCUCACACUUGUAAUCCCAGCACUUUGGGGGUCUGAGGUGGGCAGAUCACCUGAGGUCAGGAGUUUGAGACCAGCUUGGCUAAUGUGGCAAAACCCUGUCUUUACUGAAAAUACAAAAAUUAGCCAGGC
rnacentral:lncRNA from 1 species